rnacentral:rRNA from 1 species
GACGAACCGUGCGAACGUUGUUCGGAAUCACUGGGCUUAAAGGGCGCGUAGGCGGCUUCGCAAGUCAGGGGUGAAAUCUUUCGGCUCAACCGGAAAAGUGCCUCUGAUACUGCGGAGCUCGAGGCAGGUAGGGGCAGACGGAACUUCCGGUGGAGCGGUGAAAUGCGUUGAUAUCGGGAGGAACACCUGUGGCGAAAGCGGCUCACUGGACCAUAACUGACGCUGAUGCACGAAAGCUGGGGGAGCAAACAGG